GGAGGUGCUUCGGGGCUGGUGCCUUGCGCGGCCUUCAAAGCCGUUGGGCCGGGGCUAACCCCCCGGCCGGUGGGUUCGAUUCCCAUGCGCCUCCGCCA
rnacentral:tRNA from 1 species